rnacentral:ncRNA from 1 species
CAUAUUUCAACCCGUCGAGGUCUUCGUCAUCGCGUUGAUGCGAAGCUAAGAGGGAAGCCGGUGAAGCAUUGAUGCGCUUAAUCCGGCGCUGCCCCCGCAACUGUGAGCGGCGAGCCUGCAUCCAUUCGUGUCACUGAGGCGUCUCGCUUUGGGAAGACGGAUGUGGGCCGCGACCCGUAAGCCAGGAGACCUGCCGCGACGAGAUGUUUCCAC